UACGGGGGGGCAAGCGUUGUUCGGAAUUACUGGGCGUAAAGCGCGUGUAGGCGGCUCUUCAAGUCGAGUGUGAAAGCUCCAGGCUUAACCUGGGAAUUGCGCUCGAUACUGUUGAGCUAGGGUGCGGAAGAGGGAAGCGGAAUUUCCGGUGUAGCGGUGAAAUGCGUAGAUAUCGGAAGGAACACCAGUGGCGAAAGCGGCUUCCUGGUCCAGCACCGACGUUCAGGCACGAAGCGUGGGGAGCAAACAGG
rnacentral:rRNA from 1 species